rnacentral:rRNA from 1 species
GGAAUAUUGCACAAUGGGCGCAAGCCUGAUGCAGCAACGCCGCGUGAGGGACGAAGGCCUUCGGGUCGUAAACCUCUUUUAGCAGGGAAGAAGCGAAAGUGACGGUACCUGCAGAAAAAGCACCGGCUAACUACGUGCCAGCAGCCGCGGUAAUACGUAGGGUGCGAGCGUUAUCCGGAAUUAUUGGGCGUAAAGAGCUCGUAGGCGGUCUGUUGCGUCUGCUGUGAAAACCCGAGGCUCAACCUCGGGCUUGCAGUGGGUACGGGCAGACUAGAGUGUGGUAGGGGAGAUUGGAAUUCCUGGUGUAGCGGUGGAAUGCGCAGAUAUCAGGAGGAACACCGAUGGCGAAGGCAGAUCUCUGGGCCAUUACUGACGCUGAGGAGCGAAAGCGUGGGGAGCAAACA